rnacentral:snRNA from 1 species
AAAAUUGGAAUGAUACAGAGAAGAUUAGCAUGGCCCCUGCACAAGGAUGACAUGCAAAUUCGUGAAGCAUUCCAUAAAAAA